CCCCGCUCCCACCCCGGUCCAACUACACCCCCCUAACACAAUCCAACCCGCUCCCCCGGCACAAAGCGCGCAAGGCCCCGUCCAACCCCGGCCUCUCUCUGGGGCAUCUGAACUACACACCAACAAGACUGCUGCUGCCUUUGUGGGCGGCAGCAGCAACUCGAAGGGCGGGAGCUUGGACCAGGGGACUGCCGGGAGCAUAUUCAUCCCGAACCUCUUGCUCCCUGGACGUGCUGCACUAAAGAGGCAGUGAGACUUCCUGGAGACCACAAAUGCUACCUCCUGACCAGUUGCCAGGAGACACAUAACUACAGCCUUAUGUUGAUUCCUUUCCUGAACAGCAGCCUAUAAUGCCUCUGCAAACCAACAGCUGAAGCUACAAACUCAGUCAAAUAAGAGAUUAACAUUGCACUUCCCAGGAAGAUUGCAAGGCACCACCUGAAUAAAACAUUUUAGUGUCCAGAUGCUGCGAUAUGUUACAGAGGUGAUAAACAGGAC